GACAGAGGUGGCGAGCGUUGUUCGGAAUUAUUGGGCUUAAAGCGUGUGUAGGCGGAUCGUUAAGUACCUUGUGAAAUCCCACGGCUUAACCGUGGAACUGCUCGGUAUACUGGCGGUCUUGAGCAACCUAGGGGCGAGCGGAACAAAUGGUGGAGCGGUGAAAUGCGUAGAUAUCAUUUGGAACGCCAAUGGUGAAAACAGCUCGCUGGGGGUUUGCUGACGCUGAGACACGAAAGCCAGGGGAGCAAACGGG
rnacentral:rRNA from 1 species